UAAACUUUAAAUUUUGCUGAUCUCUUGCCAGUUGUACUGACAAUGGGUAUCUGCAGACUUUGUCACAUAAAACCUUGCUCCCUUGCUGCUGAUCAUCUCAAUACUGCUGUUUACUGUUCACAUGUAGCUUGAAUCUUGCAGACACGCCGCGUCGUUGUUUCUGAGGAUGUGUACAACUGAUGCAUUAAACACACACAGAAUAUGCUAGGCAGUCAUCAUGCAGAUGCAAAUGCAAAGUAAAAAGCAAGUACUCUCAUUAUAUUUGUGUGACAACCACCGGUGCUGAAAAAUGAAGCCAAUGCAGAAGUGCUUGCAGUUCCUCAAAGAGCCACUAGAAGCAGGUUGCAAACGCAAGUCACUCCCUAUGGAGUGUCACUGUUAAAAUCUCCAACUUUACAAUGAAAAUAAACAUAUUUACAGUAUGAUACAACAAAAAAUCUUUUUGGUCUAUAUAGCUAGUUUCCCCUAGCUGUGUAUGUGUGUUUUGGUGCUCAGUGACCACACCCCCAAAUUUACAGAACUUUAUGGCAUAACAUGUCUUAAUCUAAGAGAUU